rnacentral:rRNA from 1 species
GACGAACGCUGGCGGCGUGCUUAACACAUGCAAGUCGAACGGAAAGGCCCUGCUUUUGUGGGGUGCUCGAGUGGCGAACGGGUGAGUAACACGUGAGUAACCUGCCCUUGACUUUGGGAUAACUUCAGGAAACUGGGGCUAAUACCGGAUAGGAGCUCCUGCUGCAUGGUGGGGGUUGGAAAGUUUCGGCGGUUGGGGAUGGACUCGCGGCUUAUCAGCUUGUUGGUGGGGUAGUGGCUUACCAAGGCUUUGACGGGUAGCCGGCCUGAGAGGGUGACCGGCCACAUUGGGACUGAGAUACGGCCCAGACUCCUACGGGAGGCAGCAGUGGGGAAUAUUGCACAAUGGGCGGAAGCCGGAUGCAGCAACGCCGCGUGCGGGAUGACGGCCUUCGGGUGGUAAACCGCUUUCGCCUGUGACGAAGCGUGAGUGACGGUAAUGGGUAAAGAAGCACCGGCGAACUACGU